rnacentral:rRNA from 1 species
GACGAACGCUGGCGGCGUGCCUAACACAUGCAAGUCGAACGGAACUGUUUUGAAAGAUUUCUUCGGAAUGCAUUUGAUUUAGUUUAGUGGCGGACGGGUGAGUAACGCGUGAGUAACCUGCCUUCAAGAGGGGAAUAACAUUCUGAAAAGAAUGCUAAUACCGCAUGACAUAUCGGAACCACAUGGUUUUGAUAUCAAAGAUUUUAUCGCUUGAAGAUGGACUCGCGUCCGAUUAGUUAGUUGGUGAGGUAACGGCUCACCAAGACUGCGAUCGGUAGCCGGAGUAAGAGGUUGAACGGCCACAUUGGGACUGAGACACGGGCCGGGCUCCUACGGGAGGCAGCGGUAGGGGAUAUUGCGCAGUGGGCGCGACCCUGACGCAGCAACGCCGCGUGAAGGAGGAAGGUUUUCGGAUUGUAGACUUCUUUUAUUAAGGACGAAAAAUGACGGUACUUAAUGAAUAAGCUCCGGCUAACUACGUG